AUUACAAUGAUAUUAUCAGUGUUUCCGUUCUCCGGUAUAUACCUGAGAAUCGCCGGUAAAAUUUGUUGGGGACCGGUAAAUUAAAAGCCAGCAGGACACCAUGUCCAGUAAAUAAUCAUGUAUUAAAAUAAAAUCAUCAUGGGUAAACGAAAUGACAGUCUUAGCUGUGCUUCCAUGGUCACAAAAACAGUUAUGCUUUGGAAAUACCCAGGCUAAAAAUAACUUUAAAAUGAGUAAGUUUACAGUAUGGUAAUAGGAUAUGACCGGCAAAUUUAAUUCAUGACCGGUAAAAUUUUAGGUCACCAGACACAGUGUCCGAUAAACAAUGAAGUCAGCG